rnacentral:rRNA from 1 species
UCCGGAAUCACUGGGCGUAAAGGGCGCGUAGGUGGCGACCCAAGUCGAUGGGGAAAGCUCGCCGCUCAACGGCGAGUCGGCCACCGAUACUGGGUUGCUCGAGCACUGUAGAGGCUAAUGGAAUUCCGGGUGUAGCGGUGGAGUGCGUAGAGAUCCGGAAGAACACCGGUGGCGAAGGCGGUUAGCUGGGCAGUUGCUGACACUGAGGCGCGACAGCGUGGGGAGCAAACAGG